AGUUUGAUCCUGGCUCAGGACGAACGCUGGCGGCGUGCUUAACACAUGCAAGUCAAGGAGAACGGAUCCUUCGGGAUACUAUUAAACUGGCGAACGGGUGAGUAACACGUAGGCAACUUGCCUUGGAGAUUGGGAUAACCCCGGGAAACCGGGACUAAUACCAAAUAAUGCAGCGUAUCCUUCGGGAUAUGUUGUUAAAGUGGGCUUCGGCUCACACUUCAAGAUGGGCCUGCGUCCGAUUAGCUUGUUGGUGAGGUAAUGGCUCACCAAGGCGAUGAUCGGUAGCUGGUCUGAGAGGAUGAUCAGCCACACUGGGAUUGAGAUACGGCCCAGACUCCUACGGGAGGCAGCAGUGGGGAUUUUGCGCAAUGGACGAAAGUCUGACGCAGCAACGCCGCGUGAUUGAUGAAGCUUUAGGAGUGUAAAGAUCUGUCGUGAGGGAAGAAAAAUCUGGAUGUUAAUAAUGUUCAGACUUGACGGUACCUCAUAAGAAAGCACCGGCUAACUUCGUGCCAGCAGCCGCGGUAAUACGAGGGGUGCUAGCGUUGUCCGGAAUUACUGGGCGUAAAGGGUCCGUAGGCGUCUUGUCAAGUUGAUCGUUAAAUCCACCGGCUUAACCGGUGAUCUGCGAUCAAAACUGGCAGGAUAGAAUAUGUGAGGGGAAUGUGGAAUUCCUGGUGUAGCGGUGACAUGCGUAGAUAUCAGGAGGAACACCAAUGGCGAAGGCAGCAUUCUGGCACAAUAUUGACGCNGGAGGGACGAAAGCGUGGGGAGCAAACAGGAUUAGAUACCCUGGUA
rnacentral:rRNA from 1 species